GCCUGGGUGGCUCAGUCGGUUGAGCAUCUGACUUUGGCUCUGGUCACGACCUCACGGUUCGUGGGUUCGAGCCCCGCGUCGGGCU
rnacentral:tRNA from 1 species